UACAGAGGGGGCAAGCGUUAUUCGGAAUUAUUGGGCGUAAAGGGCGCGUAGGCGGCUUGGCAAGUGGAUGGUGAAAUCCCUCGGCUUAACCGAGGAACUGCCGUCCAAACUGCUUCGCUUGAGACCGGGAGAGGUGAGUGGAAUUCCCAGUGUAGCGGUGAAAUGCGUAGAUAUUAGGAAGAACACCGGUGGCGAAGGCGGCCCACUGGUCCGGUACUGACGCUGAGGUGCGAAAGCGUGGGGAGCAAACAGG
rnacentral:rRNA from 1 species